UUGAAAAUAACCAUGAUCAUCCAACUGUGUGAAGGAUCCAUUAUACUCUGGGUAGUAAUAAUUGUAACUACUAGUCGGUGGAUUGUAAAUACCGAGGUCUCCAACAGACUCUUGGUCAGUCUCCCCUUUGAUACUAGAAUUACCAUCUACUUCACCUUUGGUAUUAGAAGUAGCAUCCCGUGAAAAGCAACUGAUUGAGCCUCAUGGUAAUCCAUCUUUUUCCAGAAGCCUGAAAACAAAGACAUACAAAGGAAAAUAAGAUAAUAAAAAGAUAAUCUUGUUCUACUAAGCAUUAAGUUUGUUGUUAAAAUAACCAUCUACCAUGCAUAGAAUAAAUUUGUGCAAUGUGGGUGCCUAGAGAUACACAUACAGAGCCACAAAAAUCUAAGAUCCAAAAAAAUUAAAUAAAACACUAGCAAUCCUUUUAAACAAGAAGAAUGGAUCUCAUGGUACUCACACAAAUAGAUCAUAUUCUUGAACUUAUGUUAUAAUGACCAAAAACAUAUUUCCUUGACCUUUUAGUGUUUUAUAAUUCUCAGUAAUCCAAUGCAUACCAUACACCAAACCGCAAAGUGAAAGUUGGCACAACUACAAGAAAGAUAGGAAUCCACAAUAAAUUAAAACCAAGCCUUUUCACCUUCAUAACGCCAUUUUUCCAAGCAAUUAUCCACAAGGAAGAAAACAAAAGCAACAUAGACUAAUAUGACAUACCACAUCACGCCCAGCCAAUUUCCUAAUGGACUCCGACUUCAAUCCUGUAGGAACAGGUUCAGGUUUCUCAAGUUCCGUUUCAGUGGCCAUCGUCGAUAGUUAACACCUAUAAACAGAGAAAGACAAAAUAAAUAGCGAAAGUGUUAGUCAAAGACAAAGCACCAGUCCUUUUAUACCAAAAGUCUUAGAUUAUUUUCCAAACUCAACCACGAUUGAGAAAACAACUUAAAUAUUUAUUCUCAUAAAAAUUGAAAAGCGACGGAUCGAGGCCGAGACGAAACCGAG
rnacentral:misc_RNA from 1 species